UGGGGAAUAUUGGACAAUGGGCGCAAGCCUGAUCCAGCCAUGCCGCGUGAGUGAUGAAGGCCCUAGGGUUUUAAAGCUCUUUCACCGGUGAAGAUAAUGACGGUAACCGGAGAAGAAGCCCCGGCUAACUUCGUGCCAGCAGCCGCGGUAAUACGAAGGGGGCUAGCGUUGUUCGGAUUUACUGGGCGUAAAGCGCACGUAGGCGGACUUUUAAGUCAGGGGUGAAAUCCCGGGGCUCAACCCCGGAACUGCCUUUGAUACAGGAAGUCUUGAGUAUGGUAGAGGUGAGUGGAAUUCCGGGGGUAGAGGUGAAAGUCGUAGAUAUUCGGAGGAACACCAGUGGCGAAGGCGGCUCACUGGACCAUUACUGACGCUGAGGUGCGAAGGCGUGGGGAGCAAACAGG
rnacentral:rRNA from 1 species